AUUUAUUUUAAUAUAAUUUUAAUACAAUUAACCGUAACAUGAAUUAAUUAUAACAAAAAUAUUCAAAAAUAUUUAAUAAAAAUUGACAAAAACAAUUAAUGUAUAUUGUAUUAUUAUCCAUAAUAAUAAUAUUUUCAGUAGAUAAAUUUUUGAACACAUAUUAAUUAAGAAUUCUGAAAUAAAAAAAAUUAUUAAAUAGUCACGAUAAUUAUAAGUUUAUAUAUUAGCUAUGCUUUGAUAAACAUAGUUUAAGAUCUUGAUAAUUAAUGAAAGCAAUUUAAAAGAAAAAACACAACCAAAAUUGUACAUAAAGAGAUUUCUAAGAUAUUUACAUAACAAAUAAUAUAGAUAUAUAUGCUUUAGUGAAAGACUGCAUCAUAUAUAAAUAGUUUUAUGUUAAAUUUGUUAUUGAUUUUGUAAGUGUAUGACAAUAAAUUAUUUUGUUGGUCUUUAAAUUAAUAAUGUAUUUAUUAAUAAAUAUUAGUAAGAUAUGGCAAAAAUAUAAACCACUCAAAAGAAACUCUGGCUGGUUUUUUCUAAGAAAUAGAAAACAAGAAUUAUCUUUGCACAAAAAAAAAAGAAUUAUCAUGUUUCUUUUGGUGGCAUCCAAUUAUUCUGAUAUGUGGUGAGGAGAAGAUAUGGACAGAACAUAUAUAUAGAUUCUACACUUAAUUUUAUUAUUACCAAGAACACAAAUAAAAAUAAGAAUAACAUCAUUUUAUUGUGGCCCAUACCAAAAGAAAUCAAAUAAAAAAUCAAGAAACUUGCCCUUUCCUUCUCUCACAGACCAUUCUAGGGUUCCUAAAAAUCCCCACUUACCUUUUUGUCGAAUUUCAGCUCUUUUUUCUCUUCAUCAGCUUGAUUUUCCUUUGAAUCUAUCAACAAAUCUCUCACAAUGAUCAUUUCCUAAGAAAAUUUUGAUUAAACAUUAAAUUUUCUUCGCUGCUACCUUACCUCUUCUUUAGUUUCUCUGCCGACACUUAAACUUUCUCUUGGAUCUUGUGGCCGAACCAAAAAAAGUUCAAAGAGGAGAAAUGGUGAGAGGAAAGAUAGAGAUGAAAAAAAUAGAAAACGCGACGAGUAGACAAGUGACUUUCUCAAAAAGAAGAAAUGGUUUGUUGAAGAAAGCUUAUGAGCUCUCCGUACUCUGCGAUGCUCAAGUCUCUCUCAUCGUCUUCUCUCAGAGAGGAAGGCUAUACGAAUUCUCUAGCUCUGACAUGCAGAAUACGAUCGAACGUUACCACACGUACAGAAACGAUCAUGAAACCAGCAACCAGUACUCAGAAAUGUACAUCCAGCAAUUGAAGCAAGAAGCAAGCCACAUGAUCGCAAAGAUUGAACUCCUUGAGUUUCACAAGCGGAAGCUAUUGGGUCAAGAACUUUCUUCUUGUUCUCUACAAGAACUUCAAGAAAUUGAUAGUCAACUUCAAAGAAGUUUGGGCGAGGUUCGAGCAAGAAAGGCUCAGAUGUUCAAGGAGCAGUUGGAGAAGCUAAAAGCAAAGGAAAAACAGCUGUUAGAAGAGAAUGUCCAGUUACAUCAAAAGAUUAAGCCCAAAUCUUAAAUGUGGCGGCUCCAGUUUUAAUUUUCACGCUGCAGAGUUCGAAGAUGGACCUUAAAUGUUUAAUGAGUAGUUAAAUCUAGCAUAAUAGGCCCAUAAACGAUUCACCCUUCUUCCAUAUCUCCGUCGUUUCGAGGUCACGAGCACUGCCGUGUUUUUGGAACCGUGGAUUUAAGGCAAAUCCUCCCAAUUGUGUAACUGUCCCGGCAACGCUUCCCAUUCGUCUUCACCGACGCCGUAACGCUCCUCCUCCUAAUUCAUAUCUAAUGUUAGUCCUUGAUAGUCUGAUACGUCUGCUUCGAUUUUGGGCAUUGAUAUCCUGCUGAUUAAUGGGAAGUCAACGCUAAUCCAAGCCUAUCAACGUUUGCCACUUGAACACCUUUAGGGAAAUCUUGAAAGAGAGAUCAUGAGCAAGAGUUUUUGAUGUUACACCAAGCAACACGAACAUCAGGUCUGUUGACGCCCUGUUGCUAUUAGUUUUACGGACCAAACCAUGUUCGUUGAGAUUGCUGCGACGGUGGAACAGAAUCCGAGAGAGAGCUUCUGGUGGUUCUGCAACUUUGACACAAUCUGAUUUGGCUAACACAAACACCGACUUGCCAGAUAACGUUGGGGAACUUAUGGGUAUACAAACCAUUUUCAACGAAAAGAGUCAAAGCACUAAACGCAUAAUGGCAAGUUGGCAACGAUAAGAAUUGAAGGAGAUCAAUAAAGCUAGAAACAAGCUAUAGGAGCAUCAACUGCACACAAGGCAUAGGCAGAAAAAGAGAUAUCUGAAACGAAAAGAUUUUCACUAAAGUUUAAAUUAUCAACGUUCUCUAGGGUCUAUGGUUUCUUCUUUGAUAUGUUACAGAAGACAGUUACGAAGGAAUGGGGUUCUCCUUAUUUCUCUGGAGAGAAACCCUUUUUUGAUGUAUGAUUUCUCUUCAAGAGUUGAGAACUUUAGUUGUUGUGAACAAUCAGAAAGUUUCUUUACUAAAGAAGGUUUUGUGGUUUGAGAUCAGAAGCAAGGUUGAUCGUUAAUGUGAAACUGGUUUAUUGCUGUAAAUUGGAUGAAAGCUAUUUCUGUGUGUUUUAUUUUGUCUCAGUGUUUGUUGUAGCUAAGGAAAUUAUCUAUAAUGUUUUGGAGAAAACCUGGUUAUGCUCUGAAUGAAGAUAGAGACAACAAACGAUUGGGUGAUGUCCGUCGACUAAUAUUCAAAAGCAACGACAAACAAGUUGAAGAAAGAACAACUGAUGAUGUGUUACAGCAUGUCUUGCUCAUGUUCGGCCAACCACUGCUCCUGGUUUUUUGAUUUUCAAUGGUUCGUGUAUAAUAACAUUUAACUACAGAGGAUAGUAUAAAGAUCUCAAUUUUUUAAAGAAUAAUAUGAUAAGUUUAUCAUUUGGUUUGAACCUCUCACACUAAUAUCUCUGUCCACCCGAUUCACUCGCACGAAACUUUAUGAUCUCAUAUGAUGUCGCUAUUAUUUGUGGUACCAUUCAAAAUAUAUUUUUGUUUUCACUAAAUUAUAAAAAAAUUAAAAAUAAAGUUUAUUUUAUUUUCGCGAACAGAUUUGAUUCGACUAAAAACAUAUUUUAUUGAAAAUCCGAACAUUGAUUAUCUUGAUAGUCUCAAAGCAAUUCAGAUUGUAAAUUGUCGAUUCAGACGAAACGAAAAAAAAAUCACAUAUAGUUUCAAAAACCCAUAUAUCUGAUCCGUGCUGAAUACUAGAAUAGACUGUCACACUGUUCCUUCUCGGAAAUAAAUCAUGUUUAUAUAAGAAAAACUAUAGUCUCACACACUUUACAUUUAUCUUUUUAUAUGAAGUUCUUUUGGAUCUUCAUCUUAGUUAAUUUGGAUUGUGAUUAGUAUUUCCUCUUUUUGGUUUUUAAGUGAACGUUUUGAUUCAUAGAUUUAACAAGGACGUCGGACAUUAGACUGGUUUUGCUUGCUUGAAUGUGUAAGAAACACGAUUAGAAAAUUCUUUAUACCUUUUUCUUUUAAAAGAAUGUUGAAUUUUAUUCAUUUCAAAAAACAGUUGUUUAAAGAAUGUGGUCUAUGGUUUUGUUUUAUAACUCAACCGACAUUUGGAUUGAAAAAAAAAAGAAAAACAAAGUUGUUCCUGCAGAUAAAAAAAAAUAUAUUUUUUUAGAAAAACAGAGCUUCAGUUCUUCCUUUUACUGACGGAAAACAGAGCUUCAGUUCUUCAUUUUUUGGAUUAUAUUAACAACGUCUUCUCUUCUUCUUAUAUGGAAAAUAUAAAUUAUAUACAACUAUAAAAAACAUAAAAAAUAGUUUUGUCCAAAAGUUAGAUAACUAAUAUCAUUUCGUACUCAUUCUUGUCUAAGUAAGGACCAAGAUCCAUGCUUGCAUGAUUGGUCUUUUUUGUGAAACAAUUACUAAAAUUAAAAUAGAUAGUGGGUCCAAACCGGCCCAUUACCCAGAGUUCAUACAACAACUAAAUUACAACAACAAGCAAAAGAGAUUGGUCUUUGGUGAUAGUUUUGUAACCUAUUAAUAAACCCAUUUUUUUGUCGCAAUAUAAUACCAUUCAAUUAAGUAAGUGCAUCUCCAAUAGAACUCUAUAAUCUCUUAUGCAUUAUAUACUAUAAUAGAAUAACUCUAUUAUAAAAUAACACCAUUUGAGCAAAUCCACAUAGCUUCAAAGGAUGGUCACAUCCAAGGGACGUACGUUUAUGGUGUUCUCCUCAUGGCCAUCGGCGAGACUGAGAACGGAGUGAAAAUCAUCAACAAACUCACCGAUGAUAAAGGUAUUUCAGUGGUGGAAGAUUGCAUGGUAAAUUUCCAGCGUUCUAUGGCACGCCCCUUUCUUCACAUGAAACAAACCUAUGUGAGUUCAAUGCAGAAAAUGUGGCCACAUCUAAACUGCCAUCCUCAAGAGGGAGCUGAUACCAUGGUCUGCUCCAACUGUUUUCAUUUCUUCUUGCUGAUCGAGUUCUACAAGAUGAUGUCGGGAUUCAAUGAUCUCAUGGAUUAAAGAACAUGCUAUACACCAAAACGUUCUUUGCGUUUACAAGUUCAUGUUCUUCAUAACCUUUAAAUUUCUCAUUUUGGAUUUUUGGUACACGUUCAAGAUAUCUUGAAUUUGUAUUCCUUGCUUACUUUGUUUCCAUUUUGCAUUUCCCAUUAAAAUACUUUUUAAAA